UACGUAGGGUGCAAGCGUUAAUCGGAAUUACUGGGCGUAAAGCGUGCGCAGGCGGUUGUGCAAGACAGAUGUGAAAUGCCCGGGCUUAACCUGGGAACUGCAUUUGUGACUGCAUGGCUAGAGUUUGGCAGAGGGGGGUAGAAUUCCACGUGUAGCAGUGAAAUGCGUAGAUAUGUGGAGGAACACCGAUGGCGAAGGCAGCCCCCUGGGUCAAGACUGACGCUCAUGCACGAAAGCGUGGGGAGCAAACAGG
rnacentral:rRNA from 1 species